GUAAUAUGUUUUUGAGUAUGUACUGGCUAUAUUUUUAGUGAAUUGCCUGUAAAACAGUCUAUGGGAUAGUUUUGGCUAUUGUAAAAUAGACAAUUUGCUGCAAGUAGAUUUUUUAUUCUAGUUUGCUGCAAGUAUAUUUUUGGAAUCCUUUUAUGCAAGUAGAUCUGACAGUUAUUCUAGUUUUCUUAUUAUGUAGUGGCUAUAUGCUAAUCUAAAUUACACUUUGCAGCCGGAGUUUAAUGGUUCUGAAAAUCUUGAAUUUCCAGAAUUCUAUAAGAAAACUCAUACCAAGAAGAACAAAGAGUGGAUUGAUCCUAUUUGCGCCGUGAAACAUUCAAAGAUGUUGAGCUUGCGAGAAGAAUCUUCCCAAUUCGGUGUGCAAUUAACAUCAGAGGAGAUGUCUAGGUAGGCACUU